rnacentral:rRNA from 1 species
GAUGAACGCUGGCGGCGUGCCUAAUACAUGCAAGUCGAGCGAAUGGAUUAAGAGCUUGCUCUUAUGGAGUUAGCGGCGGACGGGUGAGUAACACGUGGGUAACCUGCCCAUAAGACUGGGAUAACUCCGGGAAACCGGGGCUAAUACCGGAUAACAUUUUGAACCGCAUGGUUCGAAAUUGAAAGGCGGCUUCGGCUGUCACUUAUGGAUGGACCCGCGUCGCAUUAGCUAGUUGGUGAGGUAACGGCUCACCAAGGCAACGAUGCGUAGCCGACCUGAGAGGGUGAUCGGCCACACUGGGACUGAGACACGGCCCAGACUCCUACGGGAGGCAGCAGUAGGGAAUCUUCCGCAAUGGACGAAAGUCUGACGGAGCAACGCCGCGUGAGUGAUGAAGGCUUUCGGGUCGUAAAACUCUGUUGUUAGGGAAGAACAAGUGCUAGUUGAAUAAGCUGGCACCUUGACGGUACCUAGCCAGAAAGCCACGGCUAACUACGUGCCAGCAGCCGCCGUAA